AGAGAGAGAAACUUGGGGUGUCAUUCAGUAGAUUCAUUUCUUGUCGAAAAGGCCUCCUAAGCCUCCAAAGCCACCAUUCUUCUUCUUGGGAGGAACCGCCACAACAUUCUUGCGGCCGCCAUUCUUCUCCUCCACCUUCUUCAGGAUGGGGUCGGUCUCCAGCAUCUGAUCUUCCUUCGCUAACCCCCCAAGAAUGAAGUCCAGGAGGCUCUUCUCCUCACUUCCGCCGGAGCUCUUGGCUGCUGUCGCAGCAUACACUCUUCCGGUGGUCACUGCUGGCGAAAAGAAUAUGUUCAAUGAAGCCAUCUCACUACAGCUAAACUCUCUU
rnacentral:misc_RNA from 1 species